GCCUUGGUAGCUCAAAUGGUAGAGCGGCUGUAUUACACUUUGCUUGUGCAGGCGGAUGGAGGUUCGAAUCCUCUCCAGGGUU